GACGAACGCUGGCGGCGUGCUUAACACAUGCAAGUCGAACGGAAAGGCCCCCACUUUUUUGGUGGGGGUGCUCGAGUGGCGAACGGGUGAGUAACACGUGGGUGAUCUGCCCUGUACUUCGGGAUAAGCUUGGGAAACUGGGUCUAAUACCGGAUAGGACCAUGGUUUAGUGUCUCAUGGUGGAAAAAUUAUUGGUUUGGUGCAGGAUGAGCUCGCGGCCUAUCAGCUUGUUGGUGGGGUAAUGGCCUACCAAGGCGUCGGCGGGUAGCCGGCCUGAGAGGGUGGACGGCCACAUUGGGACUGAGAUACGGCCCAGACUCCUACGGGAGGCAGCAGUGAGGGAUAUUGCACGAUGGGCGCAAGACUGAUGCAGCGACGCCGCGUGGGGGAUGACGGCCUUCGGGUUGUAAACUCCUUUCGUUAGGGACGGAGCCGCACCUUUUUUGGGUGUGGUGGCGGUACCUUUGUGAAGAAGCACCGGCUAACUACGUG
rnacentral:rRNA from 1 species